GGAUGUGAGGGCGAUCUGGCUGCGAUAUCUGUCACCCCAUUGAUCGCCAGGGUUGAUUCAGCUGAUCUGGCUGGCUAGGCGGGUGUCCCCUUCCUCCCUCACCGCUCCAUGUGCAUCCCUCCUGAAGCUGCACGCUCUGUUGAAGAAGACAGCCUUCCCCGAAUAGAGAAUAGGUCUUUGGUCGAGGGUAUACGAGUAGCUGCGCUCCCCUGCUAGAACCUCCAAGCAAGCUCUCAAGGUCCAAUAUUUGUUUUUUGUUCAUCUGUUUCCCAGACUAAUGUUCAGCUUUGGCUAAUGGACAGAGUGGGGUAGAGGCUGAACCUGA
rfam:Erinaceus europaeus unplaced genomic scaffold scaffold00470, whole genome shotgun sequence